rnacentral:rRNA from 1 species
UAGGAAUAUUGGACAAUGGGGGCAACCCUGAUCCAGCCAUGCCGCGUGUGUGAAGAAGGCCUUAGGGUUGUAAAGCACUUUCGGCUGUGAAGAUAAUGACAGUAGCAGAAGAAGAAGCUCCGGCUAAAUUCGUGCCAGCAGCCGCGGUAAUACGAAUGGAGCGAGCGUUGUUCGGAAUCACUGGGCGUAAAGCGUGCGCAGGCGGUCUUGAAAGUCAGGAGUGAAAUCCCAGGGCUUAACCCUGGAAUUGCUCUUGAAACUCCAAGACUGGAGUACUGGAGAGGUUGGCGGAAUUCCGAGUGUAGCAGUGAAAUGCGUAGAUAUUCGGAGGAACACCGAUGGCGUAGGCAGCCAACUGGACAGUUACUGACGCUCAUGCACGAAAGCGUGGGGAUCAAAC